UUAUAUUAUAUACAUCUUUUAUC
rnacentral:snRNA from 1 species